rnacentral:pre_miRNA from 1 species
AAUAACCUUAUUUUUCGUUUUUCCGUGUCCAACGUUUGACCAUUCGUCUUAUUUGAAAUUUUUUGCGAUUAAUAUUUUUAUUAUUACUAGAUGAUAAAAUAUGAAUAGUACUUUAUACAUGACUAAUUUUUUAAAUUUUUUUUAAGAUUUUGUACAAAAUUUUUAAAUAAAACAAAUGGUCAAACGUUGAACACGAAAAAAC